rnacentral:snRNA from 1 species
GUGCUCACUUUGGCAGCAUAUAUACUGAAAUUGGAAUGAUACAGAGAAGAUUAGCAUGGCCCCUGUGCAAGGAUGACAUGCAAAUUCAUGAAGCAUUCCAUAUUUUU